GAAAAAAUUACGCUUGGUAGUAAUCAGCCACGACGAUCGACGGGGAAAGAUUGGUGUAAAUCCAACGCUGUCCCGCAACUGUAAUGUGUUUGAGAUGUCAUAACUUCAUAACCAGAUCGUGUUAGAUCUCAAAUUAACUUAAGUCAGAACACCCGUUGGUUACAGUAAAUCAAG
rnacentral:ncRNA from 2 species